GAUCGAUUAGCUCAGUUGGUUAGAGCGCCACAUUGACAUUGUGGAGGCCGUAGGUUCGAGUCCUACAUCGAUCA
rnacentral:tRNA from 1 species